rnacentral:rRNA from 1 species
AGUGAACGCUGGCGGCGUGCUUAACACAUGCAAGUCGAACGAGAACGGGAUAUAGCUUGCUAUAUUUGUCAGCUAAGUGGCGCACGGGUGAGUAAUGUAUAGAUAACCUGCCCUCUAGAAAGGAAUAACAGUUGGAAACGGCUGCUAAUGCCCUAUAUGCCUUUAAUACAUAAGUAUGCAAGGGAAACGCUUUAGUGCUAGAGGAUGGGUCUGUAUGGUAUCAGCUUGUUGGUGAGGUAAUGGCUCACCAAGGCUAUGACGCCCAACUGGUUUGAGAGGAUGAUCAGUCACUCUGGAACUGAGACACGGUCCAGACUCCUACGGGAGGCAGCAGUGGGGAAUAUUGCACAAUGGACGAAAGUCUGAUGCAGCAACGCCGCGUGGAGGAUGACACAUUUCGGUGCGUAAACUCCUUUUAUAUAGGAAGAUAAUGACGGUACUAUAUGAAUAAGCACCGGCUAACUCCGUGCCAGCAGCCGCCGUAACAC